UUUUUUUUUUUUCCUAUGAAGAGCAAAUGGGAAAGAUCUCACAGCCCAUUAAAUAAACAGUUCAAGUGUUAAAGUGCUGCACUCAAGCACUCAGUUUAGAGGAAGAGUGAGUUUAAUCUGUGCUGGUAUGCUAACAAUAGUAAAGAUCUGGCGAAGCUUUUAUUUAGGAUUGUUUAUGAAAUCUCAGAUAGGUGGCUCACCACAUAUGUGUUGGGUUGUUUUGUUUUUAUUUGUUUUCUGGAUAGAGUUUUUUUAGGUACUUAUAACUUCAGUGAGUAUGGUGCUGACUGUUGUUUUUUUCUUGAAGCAAUAUUAGCUUCAUUAACCUGUAGUCAAUGUGGGAAUUAACUUAUUGCAAAUUCUGCAACUCAUAUGCAAAAAUAUUUGAUCUGUAAUCUGCUUUGACUAUAACCACCAAAUAACUUCAGUUCACUUCUAAAUUCCUGGCUUGAUCUGUAAAGAGCAGACCAUUAACUCAAUACAAUAAAAUUGAUUUUCAGUAGCUAAGAAUUCAUUUUAGGAUUUUCCAGUUAUAUAUAUUCAAUUAGUUCAGAUGGAAUUUAAAAUUUGUUGAUAGUCUUUUCUGAACUAACAAAUUAUGUCAUUUCACUUACAUAGCUACAUAUGUGCUGAGUUUGGUUCAAACUGUCCAAAAGAUUUCAAUGGGUUUUUCCCUAGCAUUUCUACUCUCACGUAAUAUACUAUGAAUUUUUAUUUUAGAAUAUUUGUGAUAGAUGAACCAACUGGAAGCAUGACUGGAAUCUUUUAUCGUUAGAGAAACGUUUAUCAGUGGUAACAUGUCAAAAGCUUUCAGGAAGAACAUUUUAUUCUGAGGAUAUAAGGCAGAGGCAAAACAGUCAAAAAAGUUAUAAACCUAUUUAUAUAUUAGUUUUACAGCCAACAUUCAUCCAUAUAAGGACUCUCAGAGUGAGAUAGGAUUUGAAAGUCUAAAUAGUAAUGGUCUUACUAUGCUAGGCAAUUUGUACAGAGUUCAAAAGGAGAGAUACAUGCUCUCAGUUGGCCAUCCUCUGCACAAUCGUAGGUAGAAUGAUUACAUCUGAGCUGUUAUCUAACACAGAAUUAGGGCCUUAUAGUGGUGAAUGUGUAAGUUCUGACAGUUUGAGCUUGAGAGUUAAGGUCAAGAGGCAACGUCCAAGCUCCUUACUUUGGGCACAGGAAAAUGUGCAACAUGUUAUGGGUACUGCAGACAGAUAGGUACAGAUUCAUCUCAAUAAAUCAAACAAAGUGAGCUGGCACACUAUCUAGACUUCACUGACAGCUGUAACUCCUCUGAUUACAACAACUUUGACACCUAGUCUAUGGCUGAUUCAUACAUUUGGCUAUCUUUACGUAAGUUUGAAUCCUACUUUUGGAUUUCAACAACAAAUGGAAGGAUCGAGAUACUUUAUGGCAGGACUAAAUCACUGCAGAUGGAGAGAAAUUAGUAAACCAAAGGUGCAGGGGUAAAAAAAAAAAAAAAAAAAAAAAAAAAAAAAAAAACAGAACAAUCUCAGCAUUCUGCUGUUUAAUAAAAUGAAAAAGAAAACCUCGACAGACAAAUCUUCAUUUUCCCUAAAGCUUGGGGUUUUUGUAUCCACAGGCCACAGUUAUGUCACUGCAGAAAAAGUUACAAUUAUGUACUCAGCAAAAAAUAGUAGGAGCAUUCCAGGUCAUAGAGAAAAUAUUAUCUUAGUCUCAAAGAAAUUAGAAACAUUGCAAUAAUCAUACAGUAACUAGAAAGUGAAAAACAUACUGUCUGGAAAACUGAAAAGGCAAUAAUCACGGCAAUAAACUCAUGUGAUUAAUCCAUGCUGGAAGGUAGUUGCUACCUUUGAGUACAGAAAAUCGGGGUAUUGCUGUACUUUAUCAUACUGAAGACAAGUUGUUACAGAAUCCUCAUAAUUAUCUUAGUUUCAUAACAUUGCCAUUAUCCCUAGCUAUAUAAUUAUACAUAAACAUGCACAGUCUAGUGAUCUGCAGGUUCCUAAAAGGAGACUGCAGCUUUUGCAAAGAAAGCAUGGAGGUCAAGCUUCUAUACUGUUUAAAGGACAACUGACUUUCAACUGUAUAUAUGAAACUUGGCAUGAAGACACUGGUUCUGAUUGUGUGCCGAGAACUCUUUAGGUGCAGCCUCUGAGUUUCAUAUAGGACUGGCCCGAGUGCAUCACAUAGCAGAGGUCGUUCAGGGCUUCAUGUUGGGCAACGGCUAGUUCCAGUGGUCAUAGUGAUCACCACUAUAAAGAGGUACUGAAGUAAAUAAAGCUGUAUUGGUUUAAAAUGGAUGUGGAUUUUUUUAUGUCAAUGAAACAUCAUAAAAGGUAGCAUAAUAAUAGUGAGAAUAUGGGUGGCUGAUUAUAAAUAUUUUUUAAAAAUACUGUAAAGAAUUUUAUAGUUGAAAAAAAAUAGGAAAAAGAAUGUAAGUUAUGAGGUUUUUUGAUUUAGCAUAGCAUGGCAUGCUAAUGAGAUGCAAUCUAUGUUCAGGAUAAUUUUAACUUGGCUUUGUGACAAUUUCAGUACACAAUAUGUUCAUGCUUUGCACAAAUGACUAUAUAAUGUUUCAUUAAGGACUGUAAAUACCCAUCAACCUAAUCACAGAAAUGCUGUUUCAGUGAUUUUAGGGCCAUUUAGUCUGGGCUAUGAUGAUGGGGAUGAAUUGCUUUAUUUUAUUAACAGUUGCCAUUGCAAUUACACAGAAAAAAAAUAUUUUUGUGGAAAAAUUAAGCAGCAUUUCCUGUUGUCCUGAUGCAUAUGAACAAUAUGAAUAUCUUUACAGAGUCAUUGCAAUUGUCAUAGGAAUACUUUUAUUCAGAUAGUUUUCUUUACCAGCUUUCUAAUCUGCUCAGGAAAACACAGAUCUGCUCCAACCAUGUCACGCUAUUUUUUCAUCUCUUGUACCUCCCCAAGACUAUUCCCGGUAAUGGGAUUAGCUCAUUCCAGCAUUACUAGCCAAAAAUAAGCAUGGCUAGUUCUUAUGCAUCUCUGAAGAACAAACUGAGGCUGCUGAUAGGUUAGCCACUUUGAUACUAGAGAUUUUUUUUAUAUACUCUAGAGCUAAAGUUGACAUUUCAGUUAACUCUGUCAAUCCUCUGAGACCACUGGUCAUCAGAGAAAUACUGGCGGGAAGCAUACUG
ensembl:lncRNA